UACGUAGGGUGCAGGCGUUAAUCGGAAUUACUGGGCGUAAAGCGUGCGUAGGCGGUUUGUUAAGACAGGUGUGAAAUCCCCGGGCUUAACCUGGGAACUGCGCUUGUUACUGGCAGACUUGAGUGUGGCAGAGGGGGGUGGAAUUCCAGGUGUAGCAGUGAAAUGCGUAGAUAUCUGGAGGAACACCGAUGGCGAAGGCAGCCCCCUGGGCUAACACUGACGCUGAUGCACGAAAGCGUGGGGAGCAAAC
rnacentral:rRNA from 1 species